AUCUUUGCAAAAAGAGACUACAGAAACACUACAAAUUUGGCACGUUUUUGGAUUACUGGCCUGUUCUUCCAACUUGAAAGACAUGGAUGGCAUCAUUAUAAGUGCAACAGUUGUUUUCAUGCAGUGGACCAGAAGUGAACAAACACCUGCAGAACCUCAAACUGCUGAUCGAUCAGACGGGGAAUGGGGAUGCUGAAGAAACAGACAUCCUUCCAGAGGAUUAUAAGACGGCAAUAGUUCACUCAUCACUUAAACAGCAC